rnacentral:lncRNA from 1 species
GAACUUGCAAAGCUUCAACAUAUUCCUUCAUGAAUCCUUGAAGUGCUUCCUUCAACCUCUUGGAUCUCAGCCUUGUAAUUGGUCCUUGAGGCAAUGCUAGCUCAUCAUUUUUGGUGUUGUUGGUCGUGCUUACAUCAUCCCCUCCCUCUUGAAAAGGAUUCGUCCUCGAAUCUGUACCAAAAUCAAAAGGAGACAAAUCAGAAACAUUAAAGGUAGCACUUACACUAAACUCACCUGGCAGAUCAAUUAUGUAUGCAUUGUCAUUGAUC